rnacentral:lncRNA from 1 species
AAAGUGUAUAAGUGUUCCUUUUUCUCCACAGCCUUGCCAGCUUCUGUUGUUUUUUGUCUUUUUAUUAAUGGCCAUUUGGACUGGUGUGAGAUGAUAUCUCAUUAUGGUUUAGAUUUGCAUUUUUCUGAUGAUUAGUGAUGGCUUUUCUCUAGGGUGAAGGUACACUCGAGCGUGGUCAUUGAGGACAAGUCGACGAGAGAUCCCGAGUACGUCUACAGUCAGCCUUACGAGUGGACUGAUCAAGUUGAAAGCAACAGAACAAGCAUCUAUAAGAAUUGAUUAUAUGUCCCAGCACUUUGGAAGGCUGAGGCAAGUGGAUCCCUUGGGCCUAGGACUUCGCGAGACCAGUUGGGCAACAUGAUGAACUCCUACUAAUUUUCGUCCUUCAGAACAAGAUGGAAGAAACUACGGUCACAUAUGCAAAUGGAGAAGAUGAUGAACACAGAAAAAUUAUGCAAAGAUAAUCCCUAAACCUUCUUUCUCAUCAAAAGUUAUAGCAAGGUGGUUUAAUAUAUCACUGACGGAACACGAUGCUUUGUUUAAUGAAGACUCAGACGGAAAGGAUCAGACAUCAACCUAUAAAUGCAUCAACCAGAAGGAAAGACCAAUUUUGAAAACUGUUGAGCAUUAUUCUAUACCUCUAAGCUGUUCUUUUCUGAACCAUGAAUCGGGAGAAUUAUUGUCACUCAUACAUGAGUAUGAGUUGUAAUUCUCAAUUCCCAAGUAAAAAUCUUCCUGCUUUUGUUAU